AUCUUUGCGCUUGGGGCAAUGACGCAGCUAAUGAGGUUCUAACCGAGGCGCGUCUAUUGCUGGUUGAAAACUAUUUCCAAACCCCCUCCUGGGCCUGGGCUUGUCUUGGGCCUUCGAGAAUUUCUGGAAGGGCUCCCUUCGGGGUAAAGCC
rnacentral:snRNA from 1 species